CAGUAGCCGCGGUAAUACGUAGGGUGCGAGCGUUGUCCGGAAUUAUUGGGCGUAAAGAGCUUGUAGGCGGUCUGUCGCGUCUGCUGUGAAAACCCGAGGCUCAACCUCGGGCCUGCAGUGGGUACGGGCAGACUAGAGUGCGGUAGGGGAGAAUGGAACUCCUGGUGUAGCGGUGGAAUGCGCAGAUAUCAGGAAGAACACCGAUGGCGAAGGCAGUUCUCUGGGCCGUAACUGACGCUGAGAAGCGAAAGCGUGGGGAGCGAACAGGAUUAGAUACCCCAGUAGUCCCUGUCUCUUAUAC
rnacentral:rRNA from 1 species